rnacentral:lncRNA from 1 species
CAGGUUUGCACUACUUAAUUGAAAGUUGAAAUUAUUGGUUAGGUGAUUCUGUAAGAAAACUCAUUAUUUUUUUUAAAGUAGAAAACUUAUUGUUAUUAUUCUCUUAUUUUUUUUAUCUUAUCAAUUUAGAAGAAGCCUAUUGAGGUUCUAGGAGUUAUUGAGAUUCAUGUGUUUGAGAGUAAACCUAACAUGAGCGCAACAACCGCUUGUUAGGAGGUGGUCAAAAAUCUUCGGUUGUCAUCCUCUCUAAAAGAUUUAUUCUCUUCCUUCAAGUUCAAUGGAAUGUUAAAAUGCAAGUCUGAUAGGUUGUUC